CAUGGUUGUCGUCAGCUCGUGUCGUGAGAUGUUCGGUUAAGUCCCGCAACGAGCGCAACCCUCGACCUUAGUUGCCAGCAUUCAGUUGGGCACUCUAAGGUGACUGCCGGCUAAAAGUCGGAGGAAGGUGGGGAUGACGUCAAAUCAUCAUGCCCCUUAUGACCUGGGCUACACACGUGCUACAAUGGGCGGUACAAAGGGUCGCGAACCCGCAGGGGGAGCCAAUCCCAAAAAGCCGCUCUCAGUUCGGAUUGCAGGCUGCAACUCGCCUGCAUGAAGCCGGAAUCGCUAGUAAUCGCGGAUCAGCAUGCCGCGGUGAAUACGUUCCCGGGCCUU
rnacentral:rRNA from 1 species